GCGCCCUUAGCGUCAGUUGGAUAGAGCAACGGCCUUCUAAGCCGUGGGUCGCAGGUUCGAAUCCUGCAGGGCGCGCCA
rnacentral:tRNA from 1 species